GUUCAACCAGAAAUGAACACGUUGAGUUAUAUAUAUAUAGUGAUUUAAAUCUCAAAAUAUAGUAUCAAGAGCGAACUAUCACAUUUCUAGUUCUAACUCUUGCAAUCAAAUAUAUAUAGGAAUGGAUAUUUGUCGUUAUAUUGUUGUAUUUAUCCUCGUUGUAACGAAAUCUUUGGCUGACGAAGGUCAUGACCAACAUAGCAGGCUACGAGAUUCAAAACAUGUCCAUGACAAAGA
rnacentral:lncRNA from 1 species